GAUGAACGCUGGCGGCGUGCCUAAUACAUGCAAGUCGAGCGAACGGACGAGAAGCUUGCUUUUCUGAUGUUAGCGGCGGACGGGUGAGUAACACGUGGAUAACCUACCUAUAAGACUGGGAUAACUUCGGGAAACCGGAGCUAAUACCGGAUAAUAUUUUGAACCGCAUGGUUCAAAAGUGAAAGACGGUCUUGCUGUCACUUAUAGAUGGAUCCGCGCUGCAUUAGCUAGUUGGUAAGGUAACGGCUUACCAAGGCAACGAUGCAUAGCCGACCUGAGAGGGUGAUCGGCCACACUGGAACUGGGCCACGGUACAGACUCCUACGGGAGGCAGCCGUGGGGAAUCUUCCGCAAUGGGCGUAAGCCUGACGGAGAAAAGCCGCAUGAGUGAUGAAGGUCUUCGGAUCGUAAAACUAUGUUAUUAGGGAAGAACAUAUGUGUAAGUAACUGUGCACAUCUUGACGGUACCUAAUCAGAAAGCCAGGGCUAAAUACGUG
rnacentral:rRNA from 1 species